AUCGAUUCACAUUCAUUCAAAACGUUUAAAUCUGCCUCCACCUCCAUAAUAAUUGUGGUCCACCAACAAAAAUUGAUUAAUGCUGCCUAUUUCCACAGUAUUAUAAAAAAAAUUAGAAAAGUUUCUACAUACGCAUAAUCCUAACUACAAUUUCAUACGGAUUAUACGAUUCAAAAUGCGUACAGCGUUUGUCCAUGUUUUCAUUUAUGGAAAAUGGAGCACCCGGUGAGACUGCUCUAAGCUAAAACACAGCAGCUGCCAUUUCAACGCAGUUACCACAAACCACAAUUAAGCUAUCAUCGUCAGUAACUAAAAGACAACAUAGGAAUCAUACGAAACUACGAAGGCAUCUUCCCGCAACCAACGAAAGUGGAGUGCUUAGGCAUCAGGUUUCCGUCCGUCUAUAGGAGCAAGAUUCGCUGACAAUCCGAAGCCAUGCCCCAGAUAAUUAGACCGUACGACAUGUGGCUGUGCGCGUGCGCAAAAUAAAAUCUCCUCAAAGACUCAAAGAUGAGCAUAGCACAGCGAUGAAGACCUCUAUAAGUUAUUAAAUUGAGAAAAAUCAAAAUAAAUCAUUUUCAGAAGAUUCAGUUCGAGAAUGAACAAGAAGAUGUCUACUUACGCGAGUUGAAGUGAAUAAAAACAUUGCUUGAAGGAGGGGACUCGUCGAAUCGGUUGAAAAGCGACCACCGCUACUCCGUGCAACGUCAUACAUCUUUUCUCCUUGUGCCUUUAAUUAUAAAGAUAUUUUCAAACUAUACUCCUCGUGGGAUUCGUUAAGGCCGAUUCUCACUUUCGUGCAAAGAACCGGCUCGGCAACGGUACGGCACAGACUCGGCACGGGCAAAGUUUUUUGAGUUCAAUUCACACUGCGACACGCUUGCCGCAGGUAAGCAGUUUCUACGUGAGUUUCAACUG